rnacentral:rRNA from 1 species
GAUGAACGCUGGCGGCGUGCCUAAUACAUGCCAGUCGAACGCUGAAGGAAGGAGCUUGCUCUUUCCGGAUGAGUUGCGAACGGGUGAGUAACGCGUAGGUAACCUGCCUGGUAGCGGGGGAUAACUAUUGGAAACGAUAGCUAAUACCGCAUAACAGUAGAUGUUGCAUGAUAUCUACUUAAAAGGUGCAAUUGCACCACUACCAGAUGGACCUGCGUUGUAUUAGCUAGUUGGUGAGGUAACGGCUCACCAAGGCGACGAUACAUAGCCGACCUGAGAGGGUGAUCGGCCACACUGGGACUGAGACACGGCCCAGACUCCUACGGGAGGCAGCAGUAGGGAAUCUUCGGCAAUGGACGGAAGUCUGACCGAGCAACGCCGCGUGAGUGAAGAAGGUUUUCGGAUCGUAAAGCUCUGUUGUAAGAGAAGAACGAGUGUGAGAGUGGAAAGUUCACACUGUGACGGUAUCUUACCAGAAAGGGACGGCUAACUACGUG